AUGGCCGCCACAGAUCGCCUCUCCGGCCUCCCCGACGACCUGCUCGCCAGCGUCAUCUCCUUCCUCCCCACCAGGGAGGCCGCCCGCACCGCCGCCCUCUCUCGGCGACGGCGCCCGCUUUGGCUGCGCACGGACGCCAUCAACCUCGACACCAGCUACUACCGCCGCACGAUCCGUGACUACCACGUCAAGGACCGCCUGCUCCGCGACGCCCGCGCAGCCCUCGGCGCCACCGGCCGGUGCACCGUCAGGAAGCUCUCGAUGCUUGUGGCCGGACCGAGCGCAGAUGACUUGAAGGAUGAUUAUUACUAUUACACGCCGAAGCGGAGCAGCGACACCUAUGACCUGACCGCCUCCCUCCUCGCCACCCCGGCGCUGAGGCAAAUCGAGGAGCUCCACGCCGGGAUCGUCGUGCCCAUGCCGGUCCCCCAGCAGAACAAACAAGAAGAGGAUGCACACCGCGUGUACGAGCUGGACCCUGCCAAGUUACCGGGGCACACCCUCCGGGUCCUGGACCUCGCGCGCUGCCAUCUCGAGUCAUCACCUGGCACCACAGCCUUCCCUCGACUCGCCACGCUGCGGCUCUGCAAGUGCUCGUCGACGACGACGGACCUCGAAGACAUCAUCCGUGCUGCGCCGACCCUUGGCAGCCUGCACAUUGAAAGUCACACGUACUUCGGCCGCAGCAAAGACGACACCCGCUGCCAGAAUUUCGUGCCGCACUGCCCGAGCCUCACCACACUCACGCUCACGUUGCCGGACGACGGCGAGACGACCAUCAAACGGAUCGAGCUCGACGCGCCACGCCUGCGAGCCCUUAGGUACGACGGACUCCUUGUGGAGUUCUCCAUGAAAUCGCCGGCCUCGGAGCUGGAACAGGCUGAUCUGACCCUUGGGCGGACGACGUACGGUGUCAGUGACUGGUCGGCCACAUACGGGAGCCUUCUCCGUUGCCUUCGGCAAGCCAAGGUUCUCAGAUUGAAGGUGCCGGAAAUCAUGGGCAUUGCCGGCGUCCAGGUCACGCUGCACCGUCUGGAAAGGCUGGAUUUCGAAGUGCCCUAUAAAUCCUGCAACGCAUGCCCCAUAGAUGAUGCAGCUGGCGCCAUGGCCGACCUGUUCCAAUGCUUCCCCGUCAUCCAUGACCUGCGGAUUCGGAUUUUGCCACAUCCUCCUGCUGCUAAUGUACCUUUGCAGGAUUUUGACGUGUCUAUGUACUUGUUUGAGAAGCGCGACUCGGAGGAGAUGGCUCCUCUCAUGUUCGACGACGGCUUUGGUUCCACAUUAGUUCUCCCGGAGCUCCCGAGCUUGACAGGUAGCUUGGGGAGUCAUCUGAAAAAUGUGAGGUUGGAGUUUGAGUUGACGCAACAGAGUAUCUUUGAGGUUUGCCUUGCCAAGUUCUUUGCGGAGAACUGCAUGGACCUGGAGGUCCUCGAAGUCGAUGAUGGAAAGCAGUGGUUUUUCGCCCACAUAGGUUGGACGGUAGAGAGAUGGAGAGCUAAGGCAUUGGAGCAAAGUAAACAGAUGGAGCGAAAUUCUAAUGUAGAGGCGAUGCAGACAGGGAAAAGGGAAAUGGAUGGUGACGUGCAACAUAAUCUAAAGAACAAGUCUUAA
rnacentral:rRNA from 1 species